CCCAUAGCUACUUUUAUUCCACACAUCCAUUCAUCUUUCCAUCCUAAAAUAUACCCUCUGAUCCAGUCAUCAACCUUAUUAUCAAUUCAUACAGCAACCCAUUGUUCAUCUCUCCUCUCAUCCAUCCAUCUCUCAUUCCAGCCAUUGUUCCAUCAUCCAUUCAUUUAUCUACUCUUCCCUCUGCCCAUACGUCCAUCUUCCUACUAUGGAAUCGUUCCUUCCUACAAGUACAUUUUCUUACAUGUCCAUCCAUCUAUUCGUCCUUCUUUUCAUCCUCUCAUCAAUCCAUCAAUCUCAUUAUCUGUCCAUCCAUCAACCCUCAAAUCUCAUCCAUCCAUCCAUCAUGGUUCUCACUAACUAAGUUAUCCUACCAUCACUCUUAUCCUCCCCUAUUGAACAGUCAUCUUUGUGUCCAUCCAAGUUUCUGUUCAUGAUUCAAAUUCCCGUGUUCUUUCGGGUGAAUAAUCUGCUAAACUUACGAACGAUGCGGUUCCUGGCGUUGAGCUGGGAAGUAUUGCGAAGGCCGCCGUGGGGAUGGAGGUGUGCGAGCCGGGCCAGGCCCAGCCGAGUGUGCGCAUGGGUGAGCGGAAGGGCGAUGCUGUGUGAGCGGGCCUCCGGAACCUGAGGCCUGAUUUUAGCGUCUGGGUCCAGGGGGUCUGGAGUCUGAGGCAAACUCUCCAUCCUGGUGGCCGUCAGGGCAUUCUGGUAGUGGUUCCUGGUGAUCUGGAGACACGCAGGACUCAUCAGCCAGAGUGGUCAUGCUCCACCAACUCUCUUCACAACUACAUGAGAGAAUAUGGCCAUAAAGUAAAACAGGACAAAGUCAUUUAAGGCUAAAUUAUCCUCAUGCUAAAUUGCGCCUGUUGAUUAAAGCAGAAAAGAGAGUGGGGGGUGGAGAGGAUGUCUGCCUUCACUCCCUUUCUGGAAAAAGUCACAUAUCAAAAGCAAAAGAGAUGGAAGUGGAUUUGGGGAUUCUUGCAUGUGCAGGUGCCUGCUGGGCCGAGUCCAGUGGAAAUGAGCCGAUCGGGGAACAGAUGUUAGUGUGUGUGUCAGUGUGUAACCUUGAUUAUCUGCAGGUCUGUGAGCUGUCGGACUGAGUAGUCUGGUAAGUAGAUCCCUCCUCCCGCGGUCAGCUGACCCACGCUGCCGCCAUACAAGAGUGAAUCGGAUUGGUUCAGACCGCUGCCCCUGGAACUGAACCUCUGACCUGCAUGGAAAACCACGUCACAGCUUCUAGACGGACCUCCUGAAAGGAGGCACCUUCGAUUUGCCAGAGUAAUGUCGGAGGCGAGGGGAAGGGGGAGAAAGGUUGGCCCUGAAUUUUUCAUGAUUGCACUGCGGGCCCUGUUUGGAGAGAGGAAGGAGCUUCAGAGCCCCUACAGGUCAAGCUAUUGCUAACGCCACCAGCGACAAAAUCGGAGGAUAUAUGGAUGGAAGCAUGUGUUGAAGGCAGAACUGUUGAAACGCACGUCUCAGGCUGAACAAAAUACAGUGUGCAGCUCACUCUUCCUCUGCACGAGUCUACACAGACUGCAACGUUCCUUUCGUUAUUACAGGCUAAUUUGAGCAUAUCUGUGGUUUAUUCCAAAAUAAAUGAUCCUCCGUCACCAUCAAACACUGCUUUUCUGCCUUCAGCACAAGCAUUCAUCUGAUGCCCUGUCUUUCAUUGACUUCCCAUCAAGCUGCAUCAUUUUUUUUCCCCACAAAUUGUUGGUGUUUGUAGCUCUGCUUGCUACAAAACAGUGUGUUGCAAAGCUUGAGCGCUGUAACUCCUGUCUGAUCAUGACAUGCAGCGGCUGUUCUCAGUGCACUUCAGAUUAGAAAACUAUUUGUAUUCAAAAUACAAAUGCAUUUGUAUAGAAAACCAUUUCUAAACAAAUGAGGGGAUGGACAGAAAACUUCCUGGUGGACAGGUGUAGAUUAAAUUGAAGUAGUCCAGACUGUUAAAAGUGCCGAAUAUGUCUGUGUUUACUAGUAACAUUGUCACCAUGUCCCCUCCAGAACACAGGCAGAGAUAACUGCUUUGCCUUCUGUGUAUCUGUUUAAAUAUCAGAGGCACUUUUGAUAUAUCACCUGUGGUAUGAACUUCCGGCCCUCUGGAGGUUCCAGUGAGUGUUUCAGUCAAACUGGUGAGGAUGACUGGUGAUUCAUUGAUGCCAUGGUAGAGCUGCCUCGCACUGGGAGCCCUGUAUCCUCCAGUUGAACCUGCUUCACAUUUCACAUGUGGUUCUGGAUCAAAGGGUCUGACUGGUGGACCCACUGUGAGGACUAACACCAACUCUGACACCUUGUUUUUAAAUGGGGCACUCAAUUUGAGAAGGAACUUUGCUUUAGCAUAUGGCGACCGGCACCGGCUCCCUACGAAGGCCCAGAUCAGGAGUUCAAACACCAGACACCCCAUGGUUCUGUUCUGACCUCUGCUCUCUGAUUUAAGGAUGCAUUACCUCUUUUAAAUUCUUCCAGCAUCACAUCCAGUUUGGUGUCAUUGAAGACGCAGUGCAUGGGGUGCUUGUAGAACUGAGUGAUGGUUUUCAGAGGGGUGCAGUCGUCCGGGUCCACGAAGGCCAAGUCUUUUACGAACAGGAUGUCCACAAUGUUGGAUCGCUCAUUCUCAUAGACGGGGAUUCUGGUGAAACCACUCUGCAUCACAUCUGACAUGGUGCAGAAGUCCAGCACUGCAUCUGAGGACAGCAUGUAGCAGUCGGACAGAGGGGUCAUGGUACGGAUCUGUGACUCGCAGCAUGGCCAUCAGCUUCUCUCUGGUGUAGAAGCUGCUGAUCUCCUGGUGCAGCAAGAUGUCCAGGAUUUUGGAGACUGGAUAGGCAAUGGGAAAGAAGAGGAGCAUCAGCAGCCGGGUGGCACAGAGGGUCUUGGACGCGAUGGCGAGACUGUGCCUGGAUGCCACGGCAUGAGGUAAAAUCUCUCCAAAAAAGAAUAUUCCCAAAGUGCAACACACAGUAGACAGCGGGGUCAUCCCCAGAAUUUGGCACAUCCACACCACAAAGCACGUGUUCGUCAGCACGUUUCCCAAAACCACCGUGCAGAGGAUGUAGUUUCCAUGCUUCCGCACGGACUCGAUCUUCUGUGCGUACUUCUGCUCCUUGUCUGUGCCACUGUUUUGCAGAACCCUGAGCUCCACGGGGUCCAGCGCUAACAUGCUGAUGUUCAGACCACUGCAGAGGGCAGACAGCCCCAGUAGCAGCACUGACACAGCUGCCUGGAGCCAAACAUCAGCCCCGGAAGGUCUCUCCACCACCGCUAACCAAAAGUCUUUGGUGCUGAAAUGUUCCCACUGGACUCCAUCGAAAGCGCACAUGGAGUAAUACUUGACAGCUUCGCCUCUGCGCAGGUCUUUGGCCAGCAGCUCGACCAAAACAGAGUUAUGACUUGAGGGGGAUUUAAAAGAUCCCAGCAGCUCAAUGUCAGAACUCCGGGCGCUCUCCUCCUCGCACGGGUUCCCUCCGGUGCCUCCUCCACCUCCUCCCGGCUCCUCUAUAAACGCGAUCCAUGGAGCUGCAGAGGGAAUGUCAGCUUUCCCACUGCGAUUGUCGGGAUGCUCCACGGUUAGAGAUGCGGAGUAGUAAACCCU